UGGGGAAUAUUGCACAAUGGAGGGAACUCUGAUGCAGCGACGCCGCGUGAACGAAGAAGGCUUUCGAGUCGUAAAGUUCUUUUAUAUGGGAAGAUAAUGACGGUACCAUAAGAAGAAGCCCCGGCUAACUACGUGCCAGCAGCCGCGGUAAUACGUAGGGGGCUAGCGUUGUCCGGAAUCACUGGGCGUAAAGGGUUCGCAGGCGGAAAUGCAAGUCAGGUGUAAAAGGCAGUAGCUUAACUACUGUAAGCAUUUGAUACUGCAUAUCUUGAGAAGAGUAGAGGUAAGUGGAAUUUUUAGUGUAGCGGUGAAAUGCGUAGAUAUUAAAAAGAAUACCGGUGGCGAAGGCGACUUACUGGGCUCAUUCUGACGCUGAGGAACGAAAGCGUGGGUAGCAAACAGG
rnacentral:rRNA from 1 species